CACUUCUUCUCUAUCUUCACUUGCAUUUGUUCAGUUUGGUUCACCGCUAACAGGUGAAGAGUUUAGGGUGUUCUUUUGUUUGAUUGGAUGAGGAAGGUUUCGAAGAGGGGUGCAUGUAAGUCUGCAUCACACCAGCUCUUCAAGGACAGGGCAAAGAACCGUGUGGAUGAUCUGCAGGGUGUGUUAACUAAUUUACAAUCUGCAAGGAAGGAAAGCCGAACGUAUGAUGUUGGGUUGCUUGAAGAGCAAGUCCACCAGAUGCUGCGUGAAUGGAAAUCUGAGCUUAAUGAGCCAUCCCCAGCUUCUUCUUUGCAGGGAGGAAGCCGUGUGUCAUCAUCAGCAGAUAUCUAUAGACUGCUAUUGGGAGAGGAAGAAGAUGAUGCCACCAGUGCAUUAGCUGCACCUAAGCCUGAGCCCGAUGCUCAAAAAGUUAGCAUUACCGGUUUUCAAGAGGGUUUCAAUGUAACUCAGGUGCUGCAGGAGCAAGGUUUCCAGUUGGUUGAUCAAUGCAAAGGCUUGCCUUUAAUGGUUAAUAACACAGGAGUCAACAAUCUUGGCAUUGCAACACAAUUGGAUUACCAUUCUUUUGAUUUGCAUCGCGAAUACGAUCAGCAGUACCUACCUGGAUUUGAUGCGUUAAAUCUCUGCCUAGAGGAUGCUAUGCCUCCUAUUCAUAUUAGUCCUCCACCCUCUGCUUUCCUGGGGCCGAAAUGUGCACUUUGGGAUUGUCCUCGGCCUGCAAUGGGGUCAGACUGGUGUCAGAAGUCUCAAGACUACUGCAGCGACUAUCAUGCUUCUCUUGCACCUAAUGAAGGCUAUCCUGGGAGGCCUCCAGUUGUUAGGCCAAUGGGUAUUGGCUUAAAGGAUAAUUUGCUUUUUCAAGCUCUUGGUGCAAAAGCACAUGGAAAAGAAGUUGGUGUUCCCGAGUGUGAGGGUGCUGCCACGGCAAAGUCUCCUUGGAAUGCACCUGAGCUAUUUGAUCUUAAAGUUGUUGAAGGUGAAGUAAUUAGAGAGUGGCUUUUCUUUGAUAAGCCUCGUAGAGCAUUUGAGAGUGGGAAU
rnacentral:misc_RNA from 1 species